AGAAUCAACGCUGGCGGCGUGCCUAACACAUGCAAGUCGAACGAGAAAGUGGAGCAAUCCAUGAGUACAGUGGCGCACGGGUGAGUAACACGUGACUAACCUACCCUCGAGUGGGGAAUAACCUCGGGAAACCGGGGCUAAUACCGCAUAACAUCCACGGAUCAAAUGCGUAAGCAGCUUGAGGAGGGGGUCGCGGCUGAUUAGCUAGUUGGCGGGGUAAUGGCCCACCAAGGCAGUGAUCAGUAGCCGGCCUGAGAGGGCGCACGGCCACACUGGAACUGAAACACGGUCCAGACUCCUACGGGAGGCAGCAGUGGGGAAUUUUGCGCAAUGGGGGAAACCCUGACGCAGCAACGCCGCGUGGAGGAUUAAGCCCCUUGGGGUGUAAACUCCUUUCGAUCGGGACGAUUAUGACGGUACCGGAAGAAGAAGCACCGGCUAACUCUGUGCCAGCAGCCGC
rnacentral:rRNA from 1 species